UACGUAGGGACCAAGCGUUGUUCGGAUUUACUGGGCGUAAAGGGCGCGUAGGCGGCAGAUCAAGUCAGCUGUGAAAUCUCCGAGCUUAACUCGGAACGGUCAGCUGAUACUGUUUUGCUAGAGUACAGAAGGGGCAAUCGGAAUUCUUGGUGUAGCGGUGAAAUGCGUAGAUAUCAAGAGGAACACCUGAGGUGAAGACGGGUUGCUGGGCUGAUACUGACGCUGAGGCGCGAAAGCUAGGGUAGCAAACGGG
rnacentral:rRNA from 1 species